GCUGCGAUGGGUAGCCGACCUGAGAGGGUGACCGGCGUCACUGGGACUGAGAUACGGCCCAGACUCCUACGGGAGGCAGCAGUCGAGAAGCUUCGGCAAUGGGGGAAACCCUGACCGAGCGACGCCGCGUGAGCGAUGAAGGCCCUAGUGGUUGUAAAGCUCUGUCAGAUUGGGAAUAAAUGCCGGGGGCGAAUAACCCCUGGAGCUGAAGGUACCGUCAGAGGAAGCACCGGCUAACUCCGUGCCAGCAGCCGCGGUAAUACGGAGGGUGCAAGCGUUGUUCGGAUUCACUGGGUAUAAAGGGUGCGUAGGCGGCCUUGUAAGUCAGAGGUGAAAGCUGCCGGCUUAACUGGCAAAUUGCCUUUGAAACUGCGAGGCUUGAGUCCGGGAGAGGAAGGCGGAAUUCCUGGUGUAGCGGUGAAAUGCGUAAAUAUCAGGAGGAACACCGGUGGCGAAGGCGGCCUUCUGGUCCGGUACUGACGCUGAGGCACGAAAGCCAGGGGAGCAAACGGGAUUAGAUACCCCGGUAGUCCUGGCCGUAAACGAUGGGCACUAGGUGUUGGAGGAGUCUACCCCUUCAGUGCCGUAGCUAAUGCAUUAAGUGCCCCACCUGGGGAGUACGGUCGCAAGGCUGAAACUCAAAUGAAUUGACGG
rnacentral:rRNA from 1 species